CUUAUUCGUAAUUUUUAUUUUAAACUUAUUUAGUUAAUUCCUUGACAUAUUUCCUUUGAGAACAAAAUGUUAAAUGAUGAUUGAGUAAUUUCUAUUCCCAGAAAACAUGUCAUGAGUCUCAAAUAUGAUAUUUCAAACAUGACUUGUAUUUUAUGUUUGAAAUUUGCAACAAAUCUUUCGUAACUCCUUGCAAUAAACAAAUAAUCUACAAUAAGUGUAACGACCUCGGAAGUCCAAAAGAAGAUAUAUAAUAAUUUAACUGCGGAAGUGAAAUAAAAGGUUAAAGUUUACAUCUCUUACACAAUAACUUAAAAGUACUAAACAAACAUUACAGAAUGAAUUCUUUGAAAGAAACACGAGAAAUAAGAAAAAUAAUGAAAA
rnacentral:lncRNA from 1 species